GAUUGGAGGCUGGAAAAUGAAAAGAGUGGAUUUUUUUUUUUUUUUGUCCGUUGGAUUAGUGCGUUUCAACCGUUCUGACGUCCCUGCAGGAGGAGGUGGGCCGCCUGGCCGCCCUGCAGCCUCAGGUGGACCUCCUGGAGAAGAGGCUGAAGGAGCUGAAGGAGGAGAAGGAGGGGGAGGAGGACCCGUCCGCCUUCCUGGACGCAGACAUCAACGCCUUCAAGGAGCACUACCAGCAGGUCCUGGAGGACCUGCGAGCCAGGGAGAGGCAGCUGCAGCUGGUUUUGGAAAGCCUCCCCCCGGCUCGCUACAAAGAAACCAUCUCCACCCUGUUGGCAUGGUUACAGCAGUGCGAGGCCAAGCUGGCCGUGCCGUCGACGGCCGUCACCGAGUACCCGGUCAUGGAGCAGAGGCUGCAAGACGUUCAGGCUCUGCAGGAGGCUCUGUCCGAACACCAGGGCGAGGUGGACUACCUGACCUCCACCGUGGAGCAGGUCUUCCAGAAGGCUCCGCCGGACAUCAGCCAGAAGUGAUACUCGGACGCAGACGAAGGACUCGGUCCACGACGUGGGGCGGAUGUGUAAAACUUCUGCAACCUCUGCCGCAGAUAUCGGAUGGAGAUGGACGCCAUCAUGGCGCGCUGGAGACGCCUGGGCUCCACGCUGACGGACAACCCCAGAGAAUCCAGGAGCUCAUGGCCAAGCUGAUGCAGUUUGAGGUAAAGCGGAGCGCGGGCUGGGUUAAUCCGGCGGCCAGCAGCGCGUGAAGAACCUCCUCUCUGCUCCAGAACGAUGUCAAGAACGCUGAAGAAGUGGAUGGCGGACGUGGACGUCUUCCUGAACGAGGAGUGGCCGGCGCUGGGCGACUCCGAGGCCCUGGAGAAGCGCUGGAGCAGUGCACGGUGAUGAAGCCGCGGUCCGACCGCCGCCGCAGCCCUGCGCCGCACAGCGUGUUAACCCCCGCUCUCUGGUCGGCCAGGCUCUGGUGAACGACAUCCACACCAUCCAGCCCAGCGUCACGGCAUCAACGAGGUCGGCCUGUACCUGAAGAAGGAGGCGGAGCCUCCGUUCGCCGUCCACAUCCAGAAGGAGCUGGACGAGCUCAACGCCCAGUGGGAGAACGUCUGCAAGCAGGUGAGUCGGCUUCUCCGGCGCCGCCGGCGUUUCCUUUCUUCCCAGCGCUCGUCACGCCUCUCUCUCCCCCUCAGGCCUACGCCAAGAAGUCGGCGCUGAAAGGCGGCCUGGACAAGACCAUGGCUCUGAGGAAGGAGAUGCAGGAGAUGCAGGAGUGGAUCAACCAGGCGGAGGAGGACUACCUGGAGAGAGACUUCACCUACAAGACGCCCGAAGAGCUGCGCAAGGCGGUGGAGGAGCUCAAGGUGAGGCCGCUCGGCCUGAAAGGAAUGGAUGAACUCUCAGCUCUCCGUCCCUCCGCGCUCCUCCAGUAUUGUGCUAAUAUACAGAUCUGUCGCUGCG
rnacentral:lncRNA from 1 species